GAUGAAGAACGUAGCAAAAUGCGAUAAGUAAUGUGAAUUGCAGAAUUCAGUGAAUCAUCGAGUCUUUGAACGCACAUUGCGCCCCCUGGUAUUCCGGGGGGCAUGCCUGUCCGAGCGUCAUUGCUGCCCUCAAGCACGGCUUGUGUGUUGGGCCCCGUCCUCCGAUCCCGGGGGACGGGCCCGAAAGGCAGCGGCGGCACCGCGUCCGGUCCUCGAGCGUAUGGGGCUUUGUCACCCGCUCUGUAGGCCCGGCCGGCGCUUGCCGAUCAACCCAAAUUUUUAUCCAGGUUGACCUCGGAUCAGGUAGGGAUACCCGCUGAACUUAAGCAUAUCAAUAAGCGGAGGA
rnacentral:misc_RNA from 1 species